CUGUCAGAAUACAUAGAUGAUGAUGCUCUCAUCCCCAAAAACACAUCGGUCAUCAUCAGACGGGUCCCUGCGGCUGGCCUGAAGUCCUCCAACAGAAGAUUUGUUGGACAUCAAGCUGGACCAUCAGCUAAAUCUUCUCAAACAGGUGAUUCUUCACUCCUCUCACUGGAGCAGCUGUUGAAGACUGAGAAUCUGGCUGAGGCAAAGGCAUCAGAGGAGGAC